rnacentral:tRNA from 1 species
GCCACUGUUGUCUAGCGGUUAGAACGCUGGCCUUGUAAUCCUGGGGUCUCGGGUUCGAUUCCCGGCGGUGCCC